CAGCCGCCCGGGAAUACGAAGGGGGCUAGCGUUGUUCGGAAUUACUGGGCGUAAAGCGCACGUAGGCGGAUAUUUAAGUCAGGGGUGAAAUCCCGCAGCUCAACUGCGGAACUGCCUUUGAUUCUGGGUAUCUUGAGUAUGGAAGAGGUUAGUGGAAUUGCGAGUGUAGAGGUGAAGUUCGUAGAUAUUCGCAGGAACACCAGUGGCGAAGGCGGCUAACUGGUCCAUAACUGACGCUGAGGUGCGAAAGCGUGGGGAGCAAACAGGAUUAGAUACCCGUGUAGUCCCUGUCUCUCAUACA
rnacentral:rRNA from 1 species